GCUGUGGUGGCGGAGUGGUUAACGCGCCAGACUUGAAUCACGUGAUUGCUGCUAUUGCUGCGGUCCGUACAUCAUGUUUCAGUCAUCUGGUACCUUCGGGUGCGCAAGUUCGAAUCUUGUCCGCAGCG
rfam:Hortaea werneckii EXF-2000 unitig_91, whole genome shotgun sequence.